rnacentral:piRNA from 1 species
AUUGAGAUUAAAAAUUAGAACUCUA